UUAGAAUUACAGCUGAGGGAAGACUUACUGCUCCGCUGUCCAGCUUAACAAGAUGGAUUUGCCUGCUUUUUAAGCUAUUGCUUCAAACCGAAUCAAACCAUAAAAUGUGGAUUUUUGCAAAUAGGAUAAUGGCUGUGUAUGUAGUAGUUUUCCGUCUAAUCCUCUGGAAACAUUUCGACCUGACAAAGAUCCAAGUACCAUCGAAAUGUUGUCUUGAUUCCACUUUUGUGGCAUGGGUAAAAACCUCCAGAGAAGCAUCCAAGGUGGGACCCCUUCUCCAGGAUGAUGGACAGACAAUUACUGUUGGAAGUGGUACCACGCCAUUGUGUCGCAAGUCACAAAAUGCACUGUGACCUCUGAAGUGUGAGGCUGCCAAAGUGGGAAAUUCAAAUCCACAAGCAGUGACCUGCUGGUGCUAACCUGCUGCACAGCGCUUUGCACCACUGCUUUGAAUGUGUCAGUGAGAAUACUGGACCUAAAUCUGAGUCGACAUAUUCAAUAUGAACAGAUUUUCAACCAGAUUUUCAAUGUCACGUCGAAUUUUAUUUUAUGCAUCCUUCAUUUCCUGAAUAAGUAAAUGCAGGGAGCAUCUAUGCACUUGAACUUGAAAAUUGAAAAAUUAGAAAAUGUGUCUGCUUCUGCUGCGGCAAGAUUUCCACAAUAAAUAGUACAUUUCUGGCCUCGUGGGUCAUGUAAAAAUAAUGUCCGGUGAUC